UGAGCAGGCGACCGUGGGGGCUGCCAAAAUUGAAAGGUUUUUUUUUUAUUAUUUAUUUUUGGGGUUGGGGGGUGGGAGGGAAAGAUUUUAAUAUUCAUCCCCCCACCUGGUGCUGAGUGCGGGUCCUGCCUCCGCCGCUGGAAGAGAAACCUCGGCGAACAACAAAGGAGAGGAUGCGGGAGACCCGCAGCGAAAAGAGCUUUAUUGGCACGGCACGGCACGGCACGGCGCGACCCGACGGGCUCCUUGCGGCAUCCGCACCGGCUGGGCUACGAGCCCCGGGGGGGGAGUGGGGUGGGGGUGGGGGUAGGGGGCUGCCCCCAAAUACCUGCAGCACCCCGGGGGGGGUCGGGGUGCAAAGAGUCGUCCCAGGGACCCCGAACUCCUGUCAAUGUUCCCGCGGGCACCGUCCCGGAGGCGAGGGUCUGCGCGCAGGGCUGCAAAGAGAGAUGGACCCCCCCCCCCUCACCGCCAUCAUCAAAGGACCCCCCCCGCCCCCAGCCUGGGUGCAGCUGCCCCAUGGGGGAGGGUGGUGGUGGGGGGGACGGGACCGUCCCUUCCAGUAAGGCCUGUCCUUGCCCAGGGCGAGGUACCUGCUGGGAGCACUGGGGCAGCGGGUCGGGGAUGGAGGGAUGCGGGGCAGGUUGGCCUCCAGCUGCAAAGGGAUGGGAGAAGGGAUGGGAGAAGGGAUGGGAGAAGGGAUGGGAGAAGGAAGGGAUGGGAGAAGGAAGGGAUGGGAGAAGGAAGGGAUGGGAGGUGAAGGGCAGGGAAAGGGGUGGGGGUGGCGAUGGGCUCCCAGGCACCCCUCUGGCUGAAGAGGUGGCGGAAAAAAAUUGAAACAAAACCAAAAAAGCGUGAAAAAGGAAGGGAAGAAAUAAAAAAGAGCUGGGUGGCA
rnacentral:lncRNA from 1 species